rnacentral:rRNA from 1 species
UACGUAGGCAGCAAGCGUUGUUCGGAAUUACUGGGCGUAAAGAGUGUGUAGGCGGUGCUCUAAGUUUGGUGUGAAAUCUCCCGGCUCAACCGGGAGGCUGCAUCGAAUACUGGAAUGCUAGAGGGUGGGAGAGGUAAGCGGAAUUCCUGGUGUAGCGGUGAAAUGCGCCAGAUAUCGGGAGGAACACCAAUGGCGAAGGCAGCUCGCUGGGACGGUACUGGACGCCUGAGACGCGAAAGCGUGGGGAGG